rnacentral:tRNA from 1 species
UCCCUGAUAACUCAGUUGGUAAAGAAUCUGCCUGCAAUGCAGGAGACCCUGGUUUGAUUCCCGGGUCGGGAA